rnacentral:lncRNA from 1 species
UCUCGGGAAUUUACCUGGCUUCCAGAAGAAAGAAGCAAGCAUCAUCUGGAUGAGCUAUAUGUGAGCAUGCAACUCCCUACCCUCCUCUAAGAAAUUUCAUGAGUUUACAGGAGACUCGCUUGCUGUAAAUUCGUACGUGUGCCUUCCUGCGAGUAGCACUAGAAGCUGUGUCACAUUUACACUUGACGUAGUUGUAAAAUGUGAUAAAAAGAUUUAUUUGUACCGAAUAAAUGUUCCAUUGUUUCUUUCUUCUGUUAGUUAGCACUAGAUAGUCACUCAGACAACAAUAGUCAGUUCACCCAAAGAAAGCUCAAAUAAAUGUUCCAUUGUUUCUUUCUUCUGUUAGUUAGCACUAGAUAGUCACUCAGACAACAAUAGUCAGUUCAUCCAAAGAAAGCUCAAGCAAAUAUUUUGUUCUAUAAG